rnacentral:lncRNA from 1 species
AUUGAUGCCUACACCACCCACCGAUCAGUAUGUACUAUCUUAUUCUGGUACGUAUUCUAACCCUAUCAUCUUCACACAAGCACCAUAUAUUGCACCACAUUUUUCUGCUUGUAUUUCGAUGUCAAGUUGGAGUGUAAUACAUCCAUCCUCAAUGUAUUACACACCUAUGCCAUCAGCAACUCUGAUGACAACAAUACCGAUGAUGAUGUAUAGGUUGUCUAUGUUUUAGGUACCGACGAAGAGUCCAUUGUUAUCCCAUCGGUGUAUGAGACUCAAUAUAGUUAUGCUUAUUCACCAUUUGUGACUCAAACAACUUCGAGAUCUUUAUUCUACCAAGCUGGAUCAUCUUCCUAAUCACCUAUUCCUAGACUGAAGGAUGCACGAUUGCAACCGAGAAUGCAAGGGUCGCAAUCGACCGAAGGCG